UUCGGUGGUCAUAGCGUGAGGGAAACGCCCGGUCACAUUCCGAACCCGGAAGCUAAGCCUCACAGCGCCGAUGGUACUGCAGGGGGGACCCUGUGGGAGAGUAGGACACCGCCGAAC
rnacentral:rRNA from 1 species